rfam:Calypte anna contig53882, whole genome shotgun sequence.
GCCCAGCUAGCUCAGUCAGUAGAGCACGGGACCCUUAAUCCCAGAGUUGUGGGUUCGAGCCCCACGUUGGGCA